GCGAUACCUUUGCUUUUGCUAACCCGAUCGAAAAACGAGCAAUGAGAGGAUGAUCGAUAAUAGCGAAUGAUCAUAAAGAGAAAGGACUCGAUCGAUCUGAUGAUCGAGCCUCACCGCACGACGACCGCACGAGACCGCGGAGAACCAGCACGCGAAGAGUAAAAUCGGUUUUGAAGACGAGAGCGUAUGUGUAGCAGCGAGCAACGGCGAAAUCAACGAGCUUCGAAAGCGUGGAAAAACGUAAAUGAAUCUUAUAAAGUAGCUACAUCCGAACGGUUCGGGGGUUCGGAGACAACUGAGCCUACCGGCGGACUUUGGAAUCGGUGAGCGGUGUGUGUCGGUUCGCCGGACUCGCGAAGACUUCUCGAGUUCGAGGCUCCGAGAGUCGUGCUCGUUGUUUUCUUCUGUCUUUCUCCUUCUUUCUAUAUCUGUAUUUCUCUCUCUUUCUCUCUCUCUCUCUUUUGGUACACCAAGUGCACGGUACACGCGCGUUCUACCUUCGCGACGAGUUCGCUUCUGUUCCUCCUGUUUCUCCUUCUGCUCCUUUUGUUCCUUCGGCCCAUGGCUUUUCUGUAUUACCAGCCGCGCCUCACCGCACGCGGACCCACCGCAAAACGCAAGCGCACGACCAAACCACGCACGCACGUGCGUGUCCCGCGACUUUGCUCGUGUACAACCCGAUCUUAAUGGGUUCUAAUGAAGUAUCAGUGGAAGUUGUGAAUCUGACAGUCAUACAAGAAGACUGGUAAGA
rnacentral:misc_RNA from 1 species